CUGUUGAUCCUGCCGGACCCGACUGCUAUCAGAGUGGGACUAAGCCAUGCGAGUCAACGUAGCAAUGCGUGGCGAACGGCUCAGUAUCACGUAGUCAACAUGCCCAGGGGACGUGGAUAACCUCGGGAAACUGAGAUUAAACCGCGACAGGUCAAGAUUUCUGGAAUGGAUCGUGUCUUAAAUCUACAUGGCCCCUGGAUUGGACUGCGGCCGAUCAGGCUGUUGGUGAGGUAAUGGCCCACCAAACCUAUAACCGGUACGGGCUCUGAGAGGAGAAGCCCGGAGAUGGGCACUGAGACAAGGGCCCAGGCCCUAUGGGGCGCAGCAGGCGCGAAACCUCUGCAAUGGGCGAAAGCCUGACAGGGUUACUCUGAGUGAUUUCCGCUAAGGAGAUCUUUUGGCAGCUCUAAAAAUGGUGCAGAAUAAGGGGUGGGCAAGUCUGGUGUCAGCCGCCGCGGUAAUACCAGCACCCCGAGUGGUCGGGACGAUUAUUGGGCCUAAAGCAUCCGUAGCCGGUUGUGCAAGUCCUCCGUUAAAUCCAGCCGCUCAACGGAUGGGCUGCGGAGGAUACUACAGAACUAGGAGGCGGGAGAGGCAAGCGGUACUUAGUGGGUAGGGGUAAAAUCCUUUGAUCCAUUGAAGACCACCAGUGGCGAAGGCGGCUUGCCAGAACGCGCUCGACGGUGAGGGAUGAAAGCUGGGGGAGCAAACCGGAUUAGAUACCCGGGUAGUCCCAGCUGUAAACGAUGCAGACUCGGUGAUGGGCUAGCCUCGUGUCAGCCCAGUGCCGCAGGGAAGCCGUUAAGUCUGCCGCCUGGGGAGUACGGUCGCAAGACUGAAACUUAAAGGAAUUGGCGGGGGAGCACCACAAGGGGGUGAAGCCUGCGGUUCAAUUGGACUCCACGCCGGGGAA
rnacentral:rRNA from 1 species